AACGAACGCUGGCGGCAUGCCUAACACAUGCAAGUCGAACGAGACCUUCGGGUCUAGUGGCGCACGGGUGCGUAACACGUGGGAAUCUGCCCUUUGCUUCGGAAUAACAGUUAGACAUGACUGCUAAUACCGGAUGAUGUCGAAAGACCAAAGAUUUAUCGGCAAAGGAUGAGCCCGCGUAGGAUUAGGUAGUUGGUGGGGUAAGGGCCUACCAAGCCGACGAUCCUUAGCUGGUCAGAGAGGAUGAUCAGCCACACUGAGACUGAGACACGGCCCAGACUCCUACGGGAGGCGGCAGUGGGGAAUAUUGGAAAAUGGGCGAAAGCCUGAUCCAGCAAUGCCGCGUGAGUGAUGAAGGCCUUAGGGUUGUAAAGCUCUUUUACCAGGGAUGAUAAUGACAGUACCUGGAGAAUAAGCUCCGGCUAACUCCGUG
rnacentral:rRNA from 1 species